rnacentral:rRNA from 1 species
UACGUAGGGUGCAAGCGUUAAUCGGAAUUACUGGGCGUAAAGCGUGCGCAGGCGGUGAUGUAAGACAGAUGUGAAAUCCCCGGGCUCAACCUGGGAACUGCAUUUGUGACUGCAUCGCUGGAGUGCGGCAGAGGGGGAUGGAAUUCCGCGUGUAGCAGUGAAAUGCGUAGAUAUGCGGAGGAACACCGGUGGCGAAGGCGGCGUCCUGGACCAACACUGACACUGAUGAGCGAAAGCCAGGGGAGCAAACGGG